rnacentral:rRNA from 1 species
UACGUAGGUGGCAAGCGUUGUUCGGAAUUAUUGGGCGUAAAGGGCGCGUAGGCGGUUUGUUAAGUCGGUUGUGAAAGCCCGGGGCUCAACCCCGGAGGGUCGACCGAUACUGGCAGGCUAGAGUACAGAAGAGGUAGCUGGAAUUCCCGGUGUAGCGGUGAAAUGCGUAGAUAUCGGGAAGGAACACCAGAGGCGAAGGCGGGCUACUGGGCUGAUACUGACGCUGAUGCGCGAAAG